UGUUAAAAAUUUUCAUCUAUUCAUACAGUUAAAAACUAGCAUGGUGAAUAAAAUAACCAUACAUUGUCAUAUGGUGUGCCAUGUGUACCUUAUAUUAACAUGUAUGGACUCAUUUUUAAAAGUAGAAAUUAAUGAAAUUUUUAAAA
rfam:Gossypium hirsutum cultivar TM-1 chromosome 15, whole genome shotgun sequence